CGAUGCUUCGAUAGCAUCGGUAUCAGACCUACAUUUUUUUUUCAAAUAUCGUCGUUUAGAAAUUAUCGAUACCGGUACUCAUUUCUCGCGGUGAGUAUCGAUGCCAAAAUACUCGAUGCCGCGACCCUUAGUAUCGAUACCGCUGGUAUCGAUUCUAGUAUCGCCCAUCCCUAGUAAUUGUCAAUUUGCAAUAGCUAAACGUUUGUGUGUUGAUUUGACGAAAUCAGUUGAUAAAUAUUCCGUUGCCUAGAUCCCUAUCAUUGAUAUGAUUUUAUUCUUUAAAAUAAAACAGAGUUGUUGAGUUUGUGUAUUGUUCUCUAGUUCGUAAAUGCACUCAGUCAAAUAAGAAUCGCUUGCGACGCAAAGAUUUUGGAUGAACAAUCAAGUUCCAACCUGGGAUUUGAGAUCGUGUGAUCCAGAUUGUUACAUGAAUGAAACUUAACUCAAGUAAUACAGAGUCCAACAUCAAUUCGGAAACAUGUUUUUCCCGAUAUAUGUAUCAUGUUAACUAUUUGAAACCAUGUCCGCGCUACCAAUGUGAUAAAGUGUUUAAAAUUUGUUUAAGGAUGUAAAUAUUUUGAUAACAUAGCAUGAAAUGGAAUUAAACCGCAACUGAUAAAAA